rnacentral:rRNA from 1 species
GACGAACGCUGGCGGCGUGCUUAACACAUGCAAGUCGAACGAGUGGCGAACGGGUGAGUAAUACGUAGUAACCUGCCCUCCUUUUUGGGAUAAGACUUGGAAACGGGGUCUAAUACAGGAUAAGGGAGGAUGGGCUCGCGGCCUAUCAGCUUGUUGGUGGGGUGAUGGCCUCCCAAGGCGGUGACGGGUAGCCGGUCUGAGAUGAUGAUCAGUCACACUGGAACUGAGAACCGGUCCAAACUCCCACGGGGUGCAGCAGUGGGGAAUAUUGGACAAUGGGCGAAAGCAUGAUCCAGCCAUGCCGCGUGUGUUAAGAAGGUCUUCGGAUUGUAAAGCACUUUCAGUUGGGAGGCGUUACCAACAGAGUAAGCACCGGCUAACUUCGUGCCAGCAGCCGCGGUAAUUC